UAGGCCUACGGGGCGCAGCAGUGAGGAAUAUUGGUCAAUGGGCGAGAGCCUGAACCAGCCAAGUCGCGUGAGGGAGUACUGCCCUAUGGGUUGUAAACCUCUUUUGUCGGAGAACAAAACCCGGGACGUGUCCCGGACUGCGUGUAUCCGAAGAAAAAGCAUCGGCUAACUCCGUGCCAGCAGCCGCGGUAAUACGGAGGAUGCGAGCGUUAUCCGGAUUUAUUGGGUUUAAAGGGUGCGUAGGCGGUCCGUUAAGUCAGCGGUAAAAUUGCGGGGCUGAAACCCGUCGAGCGGUUGAGACUGGG
rnacentral:rRNA from 1 species